CUGCUGCCUCCCGUAGGAGUUUGGUCCGUGUCUCAGUACCAAUGUGGGGGGUUAACCUCUCACGUCCCCCUAUGUAUCGUCGCCUUGGUAAGCCGUUACCUUACCAACCAGCUAAUACAACGCAUGCCCAUCUGUAACCGCCGAAACUUUCAACCACAAGAGAUGCCUCUCAUAGUGUUAUGCGGUAUUAGUACCGAUUUCUCAGUGUUACUCCCCCUGUUACAGGUAGGUUGCAUACGCGUUACGCACCCGUGCGCCGGUCGCCA
rnacentral:rRNA from 1 species